GACAGAGGGUGCAAGCGUUAAUCGGAAUUAUUGGGCGUAAAGCGCACGCAGGCGGAUUAAUAAGUUGGAUGUGAAAGCCCUGGGCUUAACCUGGGAACUGCAUUCAAAACUGUUAGUCUAGAGUACAGUAGAGGGGAGUGGAAUUUCCGGUGUAGCGGUGAAAUGCGUAGAUAUCGGAAGGAACACCAGUGGCGAAGGCGACUCCCUGGAUUGAUACUGACGCUCAGGUGCGAAAGCGUGGGGAGCAAACAGG
rnacentral:rRNA from 1 species